CAACGCAACACGCAGGCCGCCUCCUCUCUGGGAGUCAGUGACUGACUCCCAGGAUUCUUCAGUCACCAGCCUCAUCCUCGGUCUGCUCUCCUGCCCACGAAGCGCACUGAAGACCGCCGCACUUGCGGAAAGCUGACGUGGAAGGACGUUCUUCACCCCUGCCCACUUCUCUCACCCAGCCCCAGAUUUAUCAGUGAAGGCAGAUCUCAGCAAGAUGAUGUCGACACUGAUGCUUUGACUAAGGAACCAGAAGGAACCCUGGAAGAAGCAAGCACAGAAAAGGCCAUGUCACUGGAUCUUUCCAACGAGGGGCUACGUCCUGUCCCUUGCAGUCAAGAUCGAGGAGCAGGUUUUCUCUCCAUGUGAGAGGAGUGUGUCCAGUGUCCUUCCUGCUUCACCCGUGUGUAAAGCCAGCACAGGGCUGAGGGCACAGAAGACACCGUUGCAGGUUUGUGGUAUGGCCAUGAAAAUAGGGGUGCAUGCA
rnacentral:lncRNA from 1 species